AAAUAAAAUUGUUAAAUAGAUUGAUAGUAAGAAACCACUGAAGAAUGGUGCAUGGUCUUGGGUCUCAUAAGAUUUUGUUGGUACAGAUCUUCUCCAAAGCUUCAACCUUUAAACCUUAUGACUUGAGAUUUAGACUGUAUAAAAUAUUAACAUCAAAAAUCUAGAUUUUAUAUUUGUGCCUAGAGAUUAAGAAGAAUGGAAAAAAACUUUUUUUUUUUUUUUGAAUGAAUGGAGGUUAAGUACGUAUCCUUGACUUUAAUCUAUAACAUAUAACUUGAGAGGUUAUGUAGGCCUUGGAAACCAACUUUUUGCUAUACUUCUUUG
rnacentral:lncRNA from 1 species